AAGGAUUUAAGUUAAGCAAACUAACAACCUUCAAAGUUGUAAAUAGAAAAACAAUUCUAAGCCUUG
rnacentral:tRNA from 1 species